rnacentral:rRNA from 1 species
UGGGGAAUCUUGGACAAUGGGCGCAAGCCUGAUCCAGCCAUGCCGCGUGGAUGAUGAAGGCCUUAGGGUUGUAAAUCCUUUCGUUGGGGGCGAUAAUGACGGUACCCAAAGAAGAAGCUCCGGCUAACUUCGUGCCAGCAGCCGCGGUAAUACGAAGGGGGCUAGCGUUGUUCGGAUUUACUGGGCGUAAAGCGCGUGUAGGCGGACUUGUAAGUUGGGGGUGAAAUCCCGAGGCUCAACCUCGGAACUGCCUCCAAAACUACAAAUCUGGACCUAAGUAGAGGCAAGUGGAAUUGCGAGUGUAGAGGUGAAAUUCGUAGAUAUUCGCAGGAACACCAGUGGCGAAGGCGACUUGCUGGGACUUAUGGUGACGCUGAGACGCGAAAGCGUGGGGAGCAAACAGGAUUAGAUACCCCCGUAGUCCCUGAGCGGGCUGGCAAGGCGCAU